UACGAAGGGGGCUAGCGUUGUUCGGAAUUACUGGGCGUAAAGCGCACGUAGGCGGAUUGUUAAGUUAGGGGUGAAAUCCCAGGGCUCAACCCUGGAACUGCCUCUAAUACUGGCAAUCUCGAGUCCGAGAGAGGUGAGUGGAAUUCCGAGUGUAGAGGUGAAAUUCGUAGAUAUUCGGAGGAACACCAGUGGCGAAGGCGGCUCACUGGCUCGGUACUGACGCUGAGGUGCGAAAGCGUGGGGAGCAAACAGG
rnacentral:rRNA from 2 species